GUAUAUUGCCAUAUACCACAAACCCCCGAGGUGCCUUAUUGCUUAAGUAUAGGCUGGAGUUUCUAGUUAGGUGAAAUUAGAUCUAAAUUUACCUCUGGAUGACAGAAAGAGAAGACGACCUUCAUGCUGGAUCAGAGCCUGUCCCCUAUUCACCCACACCCCUAUCCAAAGUCAAAAGCAUUAUCUAUCUGCCUGAGUAGAAUGGAGUCAGUAGGGUAUCUGUAAGCAGAUUGUGUUCAUUACCUAGAGUAGUUAUUGAUUUUGGUAUCAGGGUUGGUUCCUCUACAGUCAAUGGAAGGCAGGGGAAGUAAAUCAAUCCUUGAAGAAGCACUAGAGGAUUCCGGUACAGCAGGGCCUAUACAGCUGACUGGUGGACAGACAUGUCUGCUUCAGAGAACAGGAGGGCUGCAUAUAACCCAUCACAUCACAAAUAACCAAGGCAGUAAAUGACUAAGGCAGUAAAUAACCAAGGCAGUAAAUGACCAAGGAAGUAAAUGAACAAGGCAGUAAAUGACCAAGGCAGUAAAUGAACAAGGCAGUAAAUGAACAAGGCAGUAAAUAACCAAGGCAGUAAAUAACCAAGGCAGUAAAUGACCAAGGCAGUAAAUAACCAAGGCAGUAAAUAACAAAGGCAGUAAAUGACCAAGGCAUUUAAUAUUUUCCAGAUAAAACUACAUAACCCCUUUUUUCCCACUUGACUAACAAUGUAUCAGGUGUGUAUUCCUCUAAAUAUCCACCAUCUCCUCAUAUGAUGACAAUGAAAUUCAUAGUCAACCAUUUAAAAAGACUAGACCUACUGAUGUGACAAAGACUACAACAUGAAAAGACACAAACUCAUCCUCACUUGACUCAGCAAUGUACAGAGCCAUUUAUUUUCUCAAAGAAGUCCUUUCGGAAGAUGAAUUAUCAUGCCCUGUUUUCCUGUUUAAAGCUUUAGCCAAUGGUGGCCGGGCUGUUCUCCUGUUUAAAGCUUUAGCCAAUGGUGGCCGGGCUGUUCUCCUGUUAAAAGCUUUAGCCAAUGGUGGCCGGGCUGUUCUCCUGUUAAAAGCUUUAGCCAAUGGUGGCCGGGCUGUUCUCCUGUUAAAAGCUUUAGCCAAUGGUGGCCGGGCUGUUCUCCUGUUUAAAGCUUUAGCCAAUGGUGGCCGGGCUGUUCUCCUGUUAAAAGCUUUAGCCAAUGGUGGCCGGGCUGUUCUCC
ensembl:lncRNA